rnacentral:rRNA from 1 species
UAGCGGCGGACGGGUGAGUAACACGUAGGCAACCUGCCUUAUAGUCUGGGAUAACUUCCGGAAACGGAUGCUAAUACCGGAUACAUCAUUUCUCGGCAUCGGGAAAUGAGGAAAGACGGCGCAAGCUGUCACUAUAAGAUGGGCCUGCGGCGCAUUAGCUAGUUGGUGGGGUAAUGGCCCACCAAGGCGACGAUGCGUAGCCGACCUGAGAGGGUGAACGGCCACACUGGGACUGAGACACGGCCCAGACUCCUACGGGAGGCAGCAGUAGGGAAUCUUCCACAAUGGGCGAAAGCCUGAUGGAGCAAUGCCGCGUGAGUGAUGAAGGUUUUCGGAUCGUAAAGCUCUGUUGCCAGGGAAGAACGUCCGGGUGAGUAACUGCUCCCGGAGUGACGGUACCUGAGAAGAAAGCCCCGGCUAACUACGUGCCAGCAGCCGCGGUAAUACGUAGGGGGCAAGCGUUGUCCGGAAUUAUUGGGCGUAAAGCGCGUGCAGGCGGCUUGUUAAGUCGGGUGUUUAAGACCGGGGCUCAACCCCGGCUCGCACCCGAAACUGGGAAGCUUGAGUGUAGGAGAGGAAAGUGGAAUUCCACGUGUAGCGGUGAAAUGCGUAGAGAUGUGGAGGAACACCAGUGGCGAAGGCGACUUUCUGGCCUAUAACUGACGCUGAGGCGCG